UAGUAACGGCGAGUGAAGAGGGAAAAGCUCAAAUUUUGAAUCUGGUGUCUUUGACUCCCGAGUUGUAAUCUAGAGAAGUGUUUUCCGCGUUGGACCGUGUACAAGUUCCCUGGAACGGGGCGUCAUAGAGGGUGAGAAUCCCGUAUAUGCCACGGACUACCAAUGCUCUGUGAUACACUCUCAACGAGUCGAGUUGUUUGGGAAUGCAGCUCAAAAUGGGUGGUAAAUUCCAUCUAAAGCUAAAUAUUGGCGAGAGACCGAUAGCGAACAAGUACCGUGAGGGAAAGAUGAAAAGCACUUUGGAAAGAGAGUGAAACAGUACGUGAAAUUGUUGAAAGGGAAGCGUUUGAAGUCAGUCACGUCUGUCGGAAUUCAGCCUGGCUUCUGCCUGGUGUACUUUCCGUCCGACGGGUCAGCAUCAACUUUGAUCGAGGGAAAAAGACAUGAGGAAUGUGGCUGUCUUCGGGCAGUGUUAUAGACUCGUGUUGUAUGUCUCGGUUGGGAUUGAGGAACGCAGCGCGCCUAUUGGCCGGGGGUUCGCGCCCCUCGGUACGCGCUUAGGA
rnacentral:rRNA from 1 species